rnacentral:rRNA from 1 species
AUGCCAAACACGACUUUCCUGGCAGAUUCGCUACAGGCCAUGACAACCCAUGGCGAGGCGAAAUUGAAAGAUGUGAAGAACAUGAAGUGGUGUAAGUUCAUUGCCGACUUCCUGCAUGAUGCAUUCUCAAGCAAGAUGUAUCAGAAGGGUUGUCGACUGCAUUUAAUGCUCAUGUACGUCCACUAUCUGGAUCUGUUCACUAUGGAUUUUACUGGGACAGGAGGCCCGCCGCCUACACCCAAGUUUGCUGUUUCUGCGUGGACUUACAACGCUGUCAAGGUUGUGCUUGCAGCGGACAAGGUCACUGAUACCAAGUAUGGAAAACUGCAGCUGAUGGCCAAGCAUGCUAUAGACUACAACGUGUUUGGGGGGCCUCAAAACUUUGAAAAGUGGAUGGACGUGCACUCAGCUCCGUCUUGCCCUAGUGAGGCGAUGGCACCUGUUGGGCAUCUAAUUGGGCAGUUUGCAUCUAGAAUGGCCGGCUUGCUCGGGAAGUUGGUUGAGGGUUGGACGUCCCUUAAUGGCUCUGAUAGCGACGCAGUCGCGAGGCAGUUCACUACAUUUGUCCCAGAACGGUCACACCGGCCAACUGGUUGCCAUGGCCAGUAUGACUGCAACAGUUCCCAAGAGCCUGAUGACAUGCAAGAUGAACUAGAUGGAGACGCUGGUCUAAACAAGGAGGACGAAGAUGACAUGGAGAACGUGCAACACGACAGCGAUGAUGACGAACAAGGUGAAGUUCGUGCAGGUGGUAAGAAGGGCAAGGAUGCACCAGAUGUCCCCCCACCGGACAAAGUCAAAGAACAUACGGCUGCGAGAGGUGAGCGGGUGUUGCCCUCAAAGAGGGGGAGGGCUCGAGAAGAUGAUGGGCAGGGUUCCCCUGGCAAGAGGUCUAGGAGCGAUCUCGUAGCUGCUAGGAGGAGUGAGGUGACCGCUGGUGGCCGAGCAGUUACGAAUAAACAGGCACCAACGCCUACCCGUGCUUCUGCUCGGUUGAACAAAGGUGCCCCCAUUGCUGGUGCCACCCAUUCCACUAGGUCAUCUCCUCAUACAACAAUGUCCAACACCGGGGAUCCUGUCGUGUUGCCAGACUUGAGAAAGCCAGUCAAGAAGGUAAAGCAUACCAUUAGGGACCCACUCGAACGUCUUCAUUUAAAGUUGUCAACAGGUGGCAACUCAGAUGUUCACGAGCUACCAGUCGACAAAACUGCUGCUGCACCACCUACUGUUCACACAAACUCUGAUGCAAGCGGCUGA